UAUUCUUUGGCGUCCUGUUAGUGGCAGCUUUGUUAUACGCCUUCCUGGUCAAAUCUGAGUCCUUCCAGGAAUGCUUCGGUGGGGAAGAAACCGAAGAUGAUAUGAUCACUAUUGUAUCAACGGAGCAAAAGAAGAAAUCAAGUCAGGAUGUGACAGACUGAAAAUAGAUACACAAACUGUUUCUAUUUUGUUACCAGGCUAACUAAAGUGAGAGCUGGACUGAGCCAUGGUCUGGAGAUAAUGCUGUUGCAAAUGUUUAAAAUCAAUACUUUUACUGAAAGUGCUCAUAGAUAUGACGAGACAAUCUGUUCCUACACUUUGAUCUGUUCAAUUUAGAUGCUUUGAAUAAUUUCUUCUCACGCUUUAAAUUAUUCGUGACCACAAGCCAAAUAAAUCUUGCUUACUUACUUAAAAUUAGUGUAUGUAUGUGUGUAGAGAAAAGAAAAACCAGGCAGACAAAGAGCAAUGAGCUCAUUUACAUCUAAAUAAGUCGUUCUCUUAGCUUGAAAAACAACACUGGCAUUUUAUAGCUGUUUUAUUUUGGAAAUAUUAUAAUUCCACAUUUAUGCAGUGCAACGACGCAAAAAUCACCUGUACCAAUUCUGAUUCCUUAUUGAAAGGACGAUGUGAUUUUUUUUUCAUAAGUGACGCUAAUUAUCAAAGACUAUGGGAAAAAAAUCAUUACAAUCACAUGAUCAUUAAAAUCUAAUUAUAAUAAACAUACAGGCCACUUAAACUUGAAAUUGUGAUUACAAGUAAUUUAGUAUCACUUGCUGAUUUUGAAUCUGUAAACAUGUUUUCAUCUCAGCUGCAGGUGGAAGGAAAAGGAAAGAAAUGACGGUGCAUUGUAGCCAGUCGGUGCCAUGUUUUACUACAUGGCACUGACAUUUUUCUCUCUCUACUCCAUUUAUGCCUGCUCACUAAUGCAGGAACUACAUGUGCUUUUAACAGUAGGUCAGUUUGUCCACUUGAGGGAAGCACUUACUCUGAGGAAAAGCUGAUCAUCAAAGAAUGACUGUGAAUAAAAACUCUUAGUCAACAUAAUUUGCAUAUGCUAAUAAAUUAAAAGUACACUGAA